AGAUUACGCUUCUUUAGCCAGCGAGAUAGCCAUGGGUAGUACAUCAGGACGCGAUCCAUACAAGUGUUGGACUCACUUGGUGUUGAAUGAGUCGGAGUGACCUCACUCUUAUGUUGCAAGGACUUGAGAAGAAUCUGAAGAUCGCAUCUAAAAUGAAGAACUCUAACGAAGGUGAAAAGUGGCAGGAUGUCAAUGUCACAACAUGGCCAGUAAUAGAACAUUUUCAAGAAUGUGUGGAUGGGAGAAUAUGAUAAAUUUCCGACGGAAAAUGAUUGCUACAUUGCUGGACUCGGAAUUGAAUAAGAUAAAAGGAAAUCCAAUAUACUAUCAACCUAACGAUGAAGAAAAUGUAUCUAAUUGAGAUUGUGCGAUUGUGGAGGGUCCAAACAAACAAGACUUAUCUGAUCUACCUCAAAAUAAAAAUCUCAUUCCGAUCCACAACAUGCCCACUGAUCAGCGCAAG